ACGGGUGAGUAAAGCCUAGGAAUCUGCCUGGUAGUGGGGGAUAACGUUCGGAAACGGACGCUAAUACCGCAUACGUCCUACGGGAGAAAGCAGGGGACCUUCGGGCCUUGCGCUAUCAGAUGAGCCUAGGUCGGAUUAGCUAGUUGGUGAGGUAAUGGCUCACCAAGGCGACGAUCCGUAACUGGUCUGAGAGGAUGAUCAGUCACACUGGAACUGAGACACGGUCCAGACUCCUACGGGAGGCAGCAGUGGGGAAUAUUGGACAAUGGGCGAAAGCCUGAUCCAGCCAUGCCGCGUGUGUGAAGAAGGUCUUCGGAUUGUAAAGCACUUUAAGUUGGGAGGAAGGGCAGUUACCUAAUACGUGAUUGUUUUGACGUUACCGACAGAAUAAGCACCGGCUAACUCUGUGCCAGCAGCCGCGGUAAUACAGAGGGUGCAAGCGUUAAUCGGAAUUACUGGGCGUAAAGCGCGCGUAGGUGGUUUGUUAAGUUGGAUGUGAAAUCCCCGGGCUCAACCUGGGAACUGCAUUCAAAACUGACUGACUAGAGUGUGGUAGAGGGUGGUGGAAUUUCCUGUGUAGCGGU
rnacentral:rRNA from 1 species